rnacentral:rRNA from 1 species
GAAGAACGCUGGCGGCGAUGCUACACACAUGCAAGUCGAACGGCAGCGGCGCUUCGGCCUGCCGGCGAGUAAUGAACGGGUGAGUAAUACAUCGGAACGUGUCCUUAAGUGAAUAACGCAUCGAUAGAUGUGCUAAUACCGCAUAUCUCUGAGCUCAAAGCAGCCGAUCGCAAGACCUUGCGCUAUCGGAGCGGCCGAUGUCUGAUUAGCUAGUUGGUGCAGUAAAGGCUUACCAAGGCAACGAUCAGUAGUUGGUCUGAGAGGACGACCAACCACACUGGGACUGAGACACGGCCCAGACUCCUACGGGAGGCAGCAGUGGGGAAUUUUGGACAAUGGGCGAAAGCCUGAUCCAGCCAUGCCGCGUGAGUGACUCGGCCUUCGGGUUGUAAAGCUCUAGAGUCAGAAAGAAAGAAUCAUGAUGAAUAAUUAUGAUUUAUGACGGUACUGACAGAAAAAGCACCGGCUAACUACGUGCCAGCAGCCGCGGUAAUACGUAGGGUGCGAGCGUAUCGGAAUUACUGCGCGUAAAGGGUGUGCAGGCGGUAGUGUAAGUCAGAUGUGAAAGCCUUGGCUUAACCUGGGAAUUGCGUUCGAAACUACAAGGCUAGAGUGCAGCAGAGCCCAAGUGGAAUUCCAUGUGUAGCAGUGAAAUGCGUAGAGAUGUGGAAGAACACCGAUGGCGUACAGCUCCCUGGGUUGACACUGACGCUCAUGCACGAAAGCGUGCUGAGCAAACAGGAUUAGAUACCCUGGUAGUCCACGCCCUAAACGAUGUCAACUGGUUGUCGGAUCUAAUUCUCAUUUGGUAACGUAGCUAACGCGUGAAGUUGACCGCAACGGGAGUACGGUCGCAAGAUUAAAACUCAAAGGAAUUGACGGGGACCCGCACGAGCGGUGGAUUAUGUGGAUUAAUUCGAUGCAACGCGAUGACCUUACCUACCCUUGACAUGCUUGGAAUCUAGCGACAUAAGAGUGCCCGAUAAGGGAGCCAAGACACAGGUGCUGCGCCUGUCGUGCAGCUCGUGUCGUCGAGAUGUUGGGUUAAGUCAUAGCAACGAGCGCAACCCGUUGUCACUAAUUGCUAUCAUCAUAAAUGAGCACUCAGUGGAGACUGCCGGUGACAAACCGGAGGAAGGUGGCCCAUGACGUCAAGUCCUCAUGGCCCUUAUGGGUAGGGCAGCACACGUAAUACAAUGGCGUGUACAGAGGGUUGCCAAUCGCGAGCUGGAAUCUCAGAAAGCACGUCGUAGUCCGGAGGAGUCUGCAACUCGACUCCGUGAAGUCGGAAUCGCUAGUAAUCGCGGAUCAGCAUGCCGCGGUGAAUACGUUCCCGGAGUCUUGUACACACCGCCCGUCACACCAUGGGAGUGGUAGUCACCAGCCCAGGUAGUUUAACCGUAAGGAGGACGCUUGCCACGGUGCUGUCAUGACUGGGCAC